rnacentral:rRNA from 1 species
UACAGAGGGUGCAAGCGUUGUUCGGAAUUACUGGGCGUAAAGGGCGCGUAGGCGGCCUCUUAAGUCGAACGUGAAAUCCCCGGGCUCAACCCGGGAACUGCGUCCGAUACUGGGAGGCUUGAAUCCGGGAGAGGGAUGUGGAAUUCCAGGUGUAGCGGUGAAAUGCGUAGAUAUCUGGAGGAACACCGGUGGCGAAGGCGACAUCCUGGACCGGUAUUGACGCUGAGGCGCGAAAGCCAGGGGAGCAAACGGG